rnacentral:rRNA from 1 species
UACGUAGGGUGCAAGCGUUUAAUCGGAAUUACUGGGCGUAAAGCGUGCGCAGGCGGUGAUGUAAGACAGAUGUGAAAUCCCCGGGCUCAACCUGGGAACUGCAUUUGUGACUGCAUCGCUGGAGUGCGGGCAGAGGGGGAUGGAAUUCCGCGUGUAGCAGUGAAAUGCGUAGAUAUGCGGAGGAACACCGAUGGCGAAGGCAAUCCCCUGGGCCUGCACUGACGCUCA